UUUCAGUUCAAAGUUGAGUUGUCACUAUGGCUAAACAUCUGGUUGGAAGGUCAGAAUCGAUCACCCAGAUGUCUUCACCUAGAGGAUGCCAAACAUCAUUGAGACCACAUCUGGAUGUUUGGAGAACCAGUUGUAUUUUUAUUUCCUGUUGUUUUAAGUAAUUGUUGGGCCUUUGGAAGCAUACUAUUCCUCUAUCCCUUUCUUCUUACCCAGAGAACAUACACCACUCGAGGAACACACUUUAUGGUGGGAAUCAGGCAAGAGUCUGAGAACCCCAAAAGCAACCUAUUCCUGGGCUGUUAAUGAAGGGAGGUCUUAAACUGACAGGUGAAGUCUGACCCUGGCAUCAUUACUGUUAUAAAUCAUGGGCUGUCCAAACAAUCUAAAGAACAUCUGAAAGUUUCUAUAGUAACUUUUAUUUUUUUCAAGUGUUGAAAAGUUCCCAGUGGCAUGGUUGGUUGCCUGGGCUACAGUGUUGUGUUGACAGCUCCAGUCCUUUUCCUGGAAGCUGAAGACCCAGGACAGUGACCAAUGAGAGGGCAGAAUUCUCCUCUGAACUUUUCAUUAAGCUGGUGAUUCAUUUUGAGACCCACAUUUUAUGAUGGUUGUGAAUUCAAUGCAAUGUAGCUAUUGAGGUGUCUACAUUCAAAUUGGAUUCCAUUAAGUUUAUGGUGUGAUUAAAUGUCUGAAUCAUAAGGAGUCAGGAUUGAAUUUAUGUGCCUUCUGAAAGCACUUUUGAAGACUGGCAGCUUCGAUGAGUGUAAUUUGAUGCAUGGAAUUGGGAGAAUAAACCUAAAGAGACGUCAACUCAAAUAUAACAAGGAUCUGAGAAUUGAGCAUCCAGUGUGGCCCGUGGUUGUCCAAACUGAGUUCACACACAAAAGAUUUCCUUUAACAGAUGUCAUCAAAGUUUUCCAGGUAAUGGCGCAGAUACCCAUCCGGAUAUUCAAAUCAGAACCCUGGGGCCAUUCCUGAUUCCUCUCUCUCCCUCAGCGUUUGUAUCGAGGUCUUCAGCAAGUCCUGUCAGAUUUGCUCUGAAAUCUGACAUCUACUUCGAUCCGCCUUCCCUGCCACCACCAACUUCUCCAAGCUCCCAGGACCACAGCCAUCAUCUUCUAGCUAUGGAAAAUAAGUGUUUCUUCUCCUCUACCAAUAGGAACCAUGUACAAGGGGCAGCCAAAUAUAGGUUUGAGGGAACGUGAAGCUGUUAAUGAUACAAAAUUACAUACAAAAGUGAAUAUAUAGAAUGGUAAUAGUAGUAACGAGAAACUACAUAUAUUAAAGAGCUGACAGCGGCACCUGGGUAGCUCAGUAGGUGAAGCGUCUGCCUUCCUCUCAGGUCAUGAUCCAGCAGUCCCGGAACAGAGCCGGGAAGUGGGCUCUCUGCUCAGCAGGGAGUCUGCUUCUCCCUCUCCCCUUCCCCCAGUUCACAUUCCUUCUCUUUCUGGCUCACUCUCUCUCUCCCUCAAAUAAAUAAAAUGUAACAAACAAACAAACAAACAAAAACGGACAAAUUCUACAAAUAGAAUAAAAAAAUAAAGAAUAUUAACUGGUUGACCUCACAACUGUAAUAUGUUUAACUUUUUGGAUUUUAUACUCUCAUCUGCUAUUCACAUGAUGACGAUUUUGUAAUAUUAUCUUCCAUAGAAAUAAUGUAAAGCUUAGUGGGUCUUUUAGCCUGUAAAUGGAAUUUCAGCCUUGCAACUCAUUAUUGGCAGUAUCAUGUAGUAUUACGUACAUUUGAGGAUUGAUGUCAGAUUUCAGAAAACCUGUACCCAAGUUUCCUUUCGUAUAUGACUUGCAGAAUUUAAGAUGCUUUUCAGGUUCUCUUCUGUAGUGAACAAUGUAAAAUAAUCUUUACUUGUUGAACGGACGGCACUCAUUAAUCAAUUUGUGUCGAUGUCUUCGUUGUAGAGGAAUAUUAUAUGUUUGAGGUUAUCUUCACUGAUAUUAGUAUUUUUUGUAAAAAUGAAAGAAAUUAAAAUCUUUUUACAAUGUGUUCCUAUGAUUCACUCUUCUUCACUAAUUGGACUAUCAAGUAAUCUAGAAGACUAUUCAUUGCUUUGAUUUAAAAUGUAUUCCUUCUUUUUAUUGGAUUACUACUUUUGUUUUGAUCUGAAUUUUGAAGGAUUACAAUUACUCAUUGAUGUCAGAAUAAUUUCUACUGAUUUAAUUGCUCAUCUGUAUUACCCUUGUUUCAUAUUCUACCAUACUUUAAAUUUUUCUCACUUCUUUAAUAAAUCAAUUUAAAGAUGACAAAAGAAGGUACUCUGAAUAUAAGUCCAAAUCACAAGCUGUAAUUUCUCACUUGUUGAACUAAAACAUUCCAAAAGUCUGCCCAAAUUGCAGUUAAAAUGGUAUAUUCAAAAUUUAUUGAAUAAAAUGUUUGCAUUUCAUUUGCACUUGGGUUUUUCUUCCAAGUCUUCAAAAAUAUAUUUUAGAGUUCUUAAAAUGUCAUUUAACUCUUAUUGCAAGAC
ensembl:lincRNA